AGAACGAACGCUGGCGGCAUGCCUAAUACAUGCAAGUCGAACGAACACUUCGGUGUUAGUGGCGCACGGGUGCGUAACGCGUGGGAAUCUGCCCUUGGGUUCGGAAUAACAGUUGGAAACGACUGCUAAUACCGGAUGAUAUCGAAAGAUCAAAGAUUUAUCGCCCAGGGAUGAGCCCGCGUAGGAUUAGCUAGUUGGUGAGGUAAAGGCUCACCAAGGCGACGAUCCUUAGCUGGUCUGAGAGGAUGAUCAGCCACACUGGGACUGAGACACGGCCCAGACUCCUACGGGAGGCAGCAGUAGGGAAUAUUGGACAAUGGGCGCAAGCCUGAUCCAGCAAUGCCGCGUGAGUGAUGAAGGCCGUUAGGGUUGUAAAGCUCUUUUACCCGAGACUGAUAAUGACAGUAUCGGGAAGAAUAAACGCCCCGGACUAACCGUCCCGUGCCCGAAGCAGGCCGAC
rnacentral:rRNA from 1 species